UUUUUUUUUCUUUGGCGGGUACAAAGGAGCAACUGGGGACAACACAUUGGUGAAGUCACAGAAUAGUAUAGUUCUAAAUAAAUUUUAGUUAAAAUGAAUAGAAAUAGAAUCUGAUCCUAAUUCGAUCCUUAAAUCUUAGAGCCCAUUGUCACCCAUAUAUGCCAAUGCUAGAGAGCCUACCGCAAAAACAGGGCGUCAUAGCACUCGAAUCAAAGGCAAAAUCAGGCAUGCACAGCAUCGCCAUAGAAUUUGACACACUGGUACAGUCUGCACAUACCUACAACAAACGUCUGCCUAUAAAAGUGUUGGGGGCCUUCGGCUUUGGAAGGUCCUCAAAAACAUGAUUUAACAAUGUUUUCCAAGAGAAAUAUGCAAACAGGUACCUUCGAAGUUAGAUUGCGGGUAUACAAAAGCACGGUUAAAGACGAAGCUUGACUGGGACGAAAGGUGAUCACGACGAAGGAUAAGACGAUCACGAAGCUAUAUGCAGAAAAGCUUCGGCAUAACGGCAGAAAAGGGGAACCGACUUAAAGAUGAAAAGCCAAAUUAGACCUCGAAGAAUUACUAUAGGGUUAUUGUUAAAUGUAAUGGGUAUUAAUAUAAUUUUGCAUGGGCUGCGACCCGUGCCUAUAAAUAGGUGAACAGUAUUCAUGUACUGUUCACGCUGAUUUGGCAUUGACUUUUGCGUCACACUUGUACUUUUACCUUCUCACAAGCUGAAGGUACAUUUGUAAUUUGAUAUCAUUUCUAUUCUUUCAUCAUAAUAAAAUAGAAAUGAUUUGUCAAUGAUACAUAAUCGUUCAUGUUAACUUAUAUGCUUCAUAUGAUCCCUUCUUCAUUAUUAUAUUUUAUGCUGAUGAAGGUAUGUCCUUCAUAACCUUCGUCCAAAAAUCAUUAUAUCCUUAGGGAAAUAAUUCUUCGAAGGGCGAAGGAUAUUAACAUUUAACAUUUUGUGUUGCCUUGUUCUUAAUUCCUAGCAUUUGAGAACAAGUCGCCAACAUUGGCGCCCACCUCCGGUGAACUCACUUCCAUUUCUUGAGUUUUGAACAACUUCGGCAAGCAUCACCUUCGUCAUGCCGCCGAAAAGAGCUUCAACGACAGGGGCUGGUACUUUACAGCCGCUGGAUCCCAAUCAGGAUGUCCUUUCUCUCAGAGAGGCCCGAAGCCAGAAGAGGAAGGCUGUUAGUCCAACACCUCCGGAGGAUGACCUGGAUCAGGAGAUCCAAAACCUGGAGAUCCUUCAGCAACAGGUGCAACGCAAGAAGGAGAAGAUGGCUCGUCUAGCUGAUCUUCAGAGACAGAUAGACGAAGCUUCUGAGGAGGUUCGUCAUCUUGUUCAAGAUGAUCAAAGCCGAAGGCCUCCACGCAGAGAGCUUCAUCAGGAAGGCUUCCACAAUGAGGAUGACUGGUAUGAAGAUUUCCUCUCAACAGAAUUGCAGGCUACACCAUGACCACAGUCUUACAAGCCACCCCAGCUCCUCAUGUAUGACGGUCACACAGACCCGAAGCAAUUCCUAAUGAGCUAUGAAGCAACCAUAUCUUCGUAUGGUGGCAAUACGGCAGUCAUGGCAAAAUCUUUCGUCAUGGCCGUCAGGAGCGUCGCCCAGACUUGGUACUCUUCUCUUCGGCCAGGGACAAUCACUUCUUGGCAGAAGUUGAAGGAUAUGCUGAUAACUAGUUUCCAAGGGUUUCAGACGAAGCCAGUCACCGCUCAGGCUCUCUUCCAGUGUACCCAGGACCAUGAAGAGUACCUUCAGGCGUAUGUCCGGAGGUUUCUGCGCCUGAGGGCACAAGUGCAAACAGUGCCCAAUGAAAUUGGGACCAUCAGCGCAGUACUUCGCCAGGAAGCCACCACAAACGUUGGAGAAGCUGCUCCAGAAGAUGGACGAAUACAUUCGAGCUGACAAUGACUUCCGCCAAAGAAGGGAGAAAGCAUUCAGGUUCUCUGAAAUGACCAGGGGCUUCGGAGGAAGAUUUCACCCGAGGCAUGUUAGGUCAAUCCAUAACUCUGCUCAAACUGAUGACCGAGGGAGCCAGCAGCAAAGGCCACAACACUCUUCACAAGCUUCGGCCCAACAGCAGAGUUCUUUUCGGCCGCCAGCGCAAAGGGGCAGAGGCGCCAGGGGCUUCGGGGGAAGGUUUGGAGACCAGCCAAGAAAAAUAUAUUGCAUAUUCUGUGGUGAAGACAAGGGCCAUACUACCAGGAUGUGCCAUGUUACCAUCCAGAAGCAGAAGGAAAUAGCGGAAGCAGCAGCGCAACAGAGUCAGUCGAAGCAGGUCAUGCAUACUGCUUCGUAUCAUUCACCUUAUAUUCCAGAAUAUGUAGGCAACCACCCUGCAGCUUUUGUUGCUUCGGCGAGCCAACCCCAAGCAUCUUGGCAGCAACCUCCACCGCCACCGCCGACCCAGCGAGGACAACAGCCAGAAGGGAGUCAGCACAAUCAUCUUCAGAGGGAUUUCAGAGAGGGGUCCGAAGCUCGCACAGUCAACAACACGGUGCCAGAGUCGAAGCACAUUUAUUGACAAAUAUCCUACCUCAACAGCAGUUCUUUUGCAUCUUCUACAUUCACUAUUACCCUUUUGUCAAUAAGAAACAAUUAUGAAGAGUUUAAAUGUCUUUUAUUGAAUUUCAAUUCCCUGUAAUACUUUCGUUUUCUACUAUAAUAAAAAUAUGUUUUUUCCAUAGGCUUGAGUUGUCGAAGCAUACAAACUUAUAAUGAUUUGGAGGACCCUUGAAUUACCAAAAACUUGAUCUAACGCACACAGUACAAAUUGUUCGAAACAGUAAAAAGUCGUUCCUAAGGGAGCGUAGUGUAAGUUUUCUAAACCUACAGCGAAAAAUAAGCGCUGAUUCCGCCGAAAGUAAAAGGCGAAGAAGCUCCUAAGGGAGGCUUACAGCGAAAAAUAAACGCUGAUUCCGCUGAAAGUAAAAGGCGAAGAAGCUCCUAAGGGAGGCUUACAACGAAAAAUAAACGCUGAUUCCGCUGAAAGUAAAAGGCGAAGAAGCUCCUAAGGGAGGCUUACAGCGAAAAGUCAGCGCUGAUAUAAAAAGUGUGUGUGCUUUAUUACAGGGAUAUAUAUCUGUGGCACAAAUAUCAUUUUGCAUGGCAUAACAUCAUCACAUCAUUUUUGCAUAACAUAAGCAUCAUACAGCAUAAUGCAUCUGGAACAAGAAGGAGAUACAGUGUUGACUUGCGGAACAUAUUUUGGAAAAGAGAAAAUCGUGCUAAGGCACAAGACAAAUCGAGAUGAAGUGUAGCCACAUCGGAAACGCAACACAAAACUUUUUUAUAGCUUCGGAAAAUAUUUCACGAAGCUUGGACAUUCCUGAGAUAUAGAAAGGAUUUUCUUCACGAAGCAUGAAAAGAAGGGAAGGUGUUUUUUCGCCGAAGGCUCAAAAAGCGGUAUGUAUGCAAAGUUUCAUGCAUCGUAAAGAAUUAAACUAUAAAUAGAUUAUAUAUUACAUUUAAAGUUACAAUAUAUUACACAUCUUUACGCUUCAAAUGUUUCUAUAAUAGCAUUUAAUCCUCUUUAAGUACUAUCUCUGCAACUUCGUUCAAUAGUUGGUUGACAACCUUGUCCAUAAUGGCUUCAGCCAUUUUUCUAAUUUCAUCGUCACCCUUCGGGUGGGGGCCCGGAAAUGUCUCAGCAGGUUCUGGGGGAAGAAAAGAUACGGCUAUAUUACUAUUACAAACCGAGAGCAGAGUCUGGAAUUAAAAAUUACAGCAUAAUAAAAACCACUAAUUAAUACCUAUUUGCCCUUCGGGCUCUGUACUUUUUUCGGUAGCUUCCGUUAUUUUUCUAGCAUCGUGGAUGCCUUUUUCACUCCUUUGAAUAAUUUCUUGCGCCGAUUCUCGGCCGCCGUUAUCCCAGAUAUCGGUGAAGAAUUUCCCACCAACCAUGCUUGCUUCGGGUGAGGGGUCUUUAAUGUCUUCAGAAGACAAGGUAGCUUCGGACUGCGCUAGGGAUUUUACAUGCUCGCAGCCUUUCCUCUCCAAAACAGCAGCAAUCCCCCUAGCACCCGAAAAAGCGCAAAUGUCACCACGACUAUUCAAAAUUUCCUCGAAGGCCUCUGCUUCAUGACUGAUCCACUCCAUUGGGCCUUCAGGAUUGCCUCUUGAAAAAUUCUCUUCACUAGAGAAUGCGCCAACGCUGGCGAAGCUAGAUUUUAUCUUUUUGACGCACUCUAUGGAUUUAACAUAACAUUUCCUCUGGGAUGCACGAAGCUCUUUAAUACUCAUCUCUAAAUGAUUCGCCAGUUGAUCACUAAGCUCGCGUUUUGUUUCUUCAAGUAUACGCUCUUCUUUAGCUCUAGCUAGCUGUUUCUGAAGAUCUUUAAUUUCACGUCUUUGGGCUUCGGCCUGGGCCUUUGAGGUAGCUUCGUCCUUCUUUACCUUGUCCACCAAUGUGAGCAGAAUUUUAUCCUUUUCCAGAGCUUCAUUUCUCAGUUUAAUAACUUCUGAUCGUAGGUUGUUGAACGCAAUUUCAUAGCUCUCAUCUUCGGCACUCUUUUGUGCUCUCAAUGCGUUGCUUAGAAUUAAACCCUAUAUGUAAAAAGGUUGGUAUAAGAACAAAAGAAUGAGCUACGAAUUAUAAAAUUUGUAAACAUCCAAUUCUCAUACCUUCAGGCUAUUGUACGCAAGACUAUCCGCAAGAUCCUCCUUCGUCAUAGCACAUAAUCCAGCCUCAAGCUUCGGAAACCCCAUACUUCUAGACAUCUCCCGACAGACGGAUAAUUCUUUAUUGUCUGGGAGGCAGUAUAGGAAAUCCUCUUCGUCAGUCCCAUUGAACACUAGUGCCCCCUUAGGAUAUUUCAAUUCUUUGGCAUAGUGAUUAGCUUCAAAAACUUCUUCUUUCGAUAACUUUUCCCCCGAAGCAUGACGCACAAUAUAAUCGUAUAUUUUGGAAGUUGCUUCGGGGACAGCAGUAUCAAUUUCUUCGACCAAAGUAGGCUCUGACAUUUUCAUUUCUUCAGUUGCCCUUACAAUUUUUGUUUCUUCUGCUUCCAAAGGUAUUACCUUGGUUGGUUCUGAAAGCCCGGUUCCAACUUCAGUUUGUUGCUUCGGAGCCUCAACAACGGAUACUUUAGCAAGCCCCUCAGAAGUUUUAGCAGUCUUCUUCGGGAUUGUGCUUGGAAGUUUAAUUGUUUCCAAAACAUCUAACACAUUAACCAUUCUUUUUCUUUUUGGGGUCGCUGUUGGCCCCUUUUUAAUUUUUGUUGCUUUAAUUUCUUCUGAGGGACUCAAAAUUUCUGAUAUUUUCGUUCCCUCAGUUGAUGCUUUUGCUUCUUCCAUCUUUUCUGUCGAUGGAGCUUCGGCCACCUCUUUGAUGUCUGGUAACAGAGUCUUUGGUUCUUCCAAUUCUUUUGUAAUUGGCACUUCGGCCAGCUCUCUGGCUCCGGGCAACGAAGUUGAUUCCUUAGCUUCGGGGGCUGAAGAUGCUCCGCUGCCGAAUUCAGGCACUGUGGCUAGUUCAAUGUAACGUGGCCGGUGUGUGAGAACUUUCACCCUUUUUCUCUUCGGCGCUGGCUCGAUAGGAGCAGCUGGAGCAGUUUCUUUCGCAGAAACUGUACCUUUCCUUUUCUGCCCCCGCACUGGAUAAUGGUAGUCGGGGUACACGAACCCGAUUGCAUCAAAAACUCGGUUCAAUCUUUUCUUUCUUCGGCCUCCGAAGGCUGCUGACAUUGUAGUAUCUUCGGCCUUCGAGUAUGCCCCAAGCAAUUCAUCACUUACAGUUUCAAUGCUCUUUAACCAAUCAUCAUCUGGUUCAACGAAUUUGUCUCCAUACUUGAAUGUAUACUUCAGCCUGACUAGCCCACCUUCGUCAGUUUCUUUAACAGUCUCUUUCGGCAUUUCCCAAUUAUCUGCAAGAGGCCAUACUCUGAAGGCAAUGUGUUCUUGUAUCAAAUCCCUUGUCCCGAUAAAGGAGCAGACUACGCCGAAGGCCCGUUGGCAUUCUUCGGCUACUUUAUCCAUUUCUACCUUCGGUUUCCGGAAUCCGAAGCGCUGCCAGAUGGGGCGCAUGAUGAUAUCCUUAAUAUCUUCUCGAACCUUCAAAUCAUUUUUUACAUAGAACCAUUCUUUCAUCCAUUCUCCAGGCCAUCUCUUCCGAAAGGUGGGCACGUGACAGCUUGAUCCAGAGCGAGCACCGAAGUUGUAGCAACCAAAGUUGUUAUGAUACUGCUCUUUACCCGAGGGUUUCGUUUCAUAUAACAAUUCAUGUAUAUUGCAAAAGCUUUUCGCACUUGGCUCUAGACCUUGACUCUUCACAGCCCAGACGAAGAUUUCCAUUCUUAUUAUUGCUUCAGGGGUAAGUUGAUGAAGGUAAACCUGAUAUAUUUUCAGAACUUCUACCACGAAUCUGCUUAGAGGGAAUCGUAGCCCAGCUUUUAAAAAGCUUAGGAAGAUAACGACUUCAUCAUCUUCAGGGCUCGGCACAGUUCUUUCUCCGGCAUCUGCUCUCACAAUAGACAUAUCUCGAAAGUAUCUCCCCUUCAUGUUUUCAAGGUGACUUUGCCCAAUAGUUGAUUUUCCGAAGACUGAAUGGCUUGGUCGCCAUGGCCGAUCUUCGGAAUCUUCACCCCCGCUAUCUGCAUCGUAACUGUCACUCUCACCAGUAUCUUCAGAUAAACCUUCUAAAAUCUCCCUUGUAAUCUUCUCCGUAUUCGUCUUCGCCAUUGACUCAAGAAAACCCAGAUGCAUCUCUUCAGAAAGGCUCAGCUUCAUUUCGGCAGCAACCUUCUUCUCCUCAGACAUUCCUUCGGAAUUCUUGCCUCUCGCUUCCGAAGCUUAAAACUAGGGAGGCAACCAAAUAUUUGUAGGCAGAAAACUAUUUGAGCAGGAAAAACAGAUGGCAAGAGAGCGUGCCCAAUAAAUUGUGGCGAGCCCGUAUUUAUAAACCUAUUAUGUCGGAGACUGGAGGGCCCCAUUUGCCAAUGACUGUUGCUAUUCUAGCAAAAGGAAGGUGUUUUUCGGACCUUCGGCUUAUAGCCUUCGUCCAUUUCGCAAUCUGAAUUUAUCAUUCUAACAAAUUAAUAUUGCGAGGGGCUACUGUUGGGGGCCUUCGGCUUUGGAAGGUCCUCAAAAACAUGAUUUAACAAUGUUUUCCAAGAGAAAUAUGCAAACAGGUACCUUCGAAGUUAGAUUGCGGGUAUACAAAAGCACGGUUAAAGACGAAGCUUGACUGGGACGAAAGGUGAUCACG
rnacentral:lncRNA from 1 species